rnacentral:rRNA from 1 species
UAUUGCACAAUGGGGGAAACCCUGAUGCAGCGACGCCGCGCGAGUGAAGAAGUAUUUCGGUAUGUAAAGCUCUAUCAGCAGGGAAGAAAAUGACGGUACCUGACUAAGAAGCCCCGGCUAACUACGUGCCAGCAGCCGCGGUAAUACGUAGGGGGCAAGCGUUAUCCGGAUUUACUGGGUGUAAAGGGAGCGUCGACGGCAUAGCAAGUCUGAUGUGAAAGGUCGGGGCUCAAACCCGGGACUGCAUUGGAAACCGUUAAGCUGGAGUGCAGGAGAGGUAAGUGGAAUUCCUAGUGUAGCGGUGAAAUGCGUAGAUAUUAGGAGGAACACCAGUGGCGAAAGCGGCUUACUGGACUGUAACUGACGUUGAGGCUCGAAAGCGUGGGGAGCAAACAGG